UACGCUAAUACCGCAUAAUGCUUUCAGUAGGGAUACUGGGAGAAGAAAACUCUGGUGCUUUGGGAGGGGUCUGCGUCCGAUUAGCUAGUUGGUGAGGUAAAGGCUCACCAAGGCGACGAUCGGUAGCUGGUCUGAGAGGACGAUCAGCCACACGGGAACUGAGACACGGUCCCGACUCCUACGGGGGGCAGCAGUGAGGAAUAUUGCCCAAUGGGGAAACCCUGAGGCAGCAACGCCGCGUGGAGGAAGAAGGUCUUUACGAUCGUAAACUUCUUUUGUGAGGGAAGAGGAAGGACGGUACCUCAUGAAUAAGUCACGGCUAACUACGUGCCAGCAGCCGCGGUAAUACGUAGGUGACGAGCGUUAUCCGGAAUUACUGGGCGUAAAGCGUACGCAGGCGGCAUGGUAAGUCUGACGUGAAAUCUCCUGGCUUAACUGGGAGAGGUCGUUGGAGACUGCUGUGCUUGAGACAAUGAGAGGGGUGCAGAAUUCCCCGGUGUAGUGGUGGAAUGCGUAGAUAUCGGGAG
rnacentral:rRNA from 1 species